rnacentral:tRNA from 1 species
GGCCCUAUAGCUCAGUUGGUUAGAGCGCCUGCCUGUCACGCAGGAGGUCGCCGGUUCAAGUCCGGUUAGGGUCG